UACGGAGGGUGCUAGCGUUGUUCGGAAUCACUGGGCGUAAAGCGCGUGUAGGCGGUCCGGUAAGUCCGCUGUGAAAGUCGGGGGCUCAACCCUCGAAUGCCGGUGGAUACUGUCGGGCUAGAGUGCGGAAGAGGCGAGUGGAAUUCCUGGUGUAGCGGUGAAAUGCGCAGAUAUCAGGAGGAACACCAAUUGCGAAGGCAGCUCGCUGGGACGUAACUGACGCUGAGACGCGAAAGCGUGGGGAGCAAACAGG
rnacentral:rRNA from 1 species